rnacentral:rRNA from 14 species
AGUGCGAUGGCAUUUGCCAAGGAUGUUUUCAUUAAUCAAGAACGAAAGUUAGGGGAUCGAAGACGAUCAGAUACCGUCGUAGUCUUAACCAUAAACUAUGCCGACCAGGGAUUGGAAGAUGUCUUAUCCGGUGUUACCCGCCGGAAAACUCCUUCAGUACCUUACGAGAAAUCAUAAGUCUUUGGGUUCUGGGGGGAGUAUGGUCGCAAGGCUG